ensembl:lncRNA
GUGGAUUCUUAACCACUGGGCCACCAAGGAAGCCCAGAUGUUUCCUUUCCAUAGUACAAUCUUCACCAUGAAAUGGUAUUUGAGACCAGUCCUGUCCGUUUCCGUCAUUUGGUUUAACGUGAAGGCGCUCCAUGUUACUGGGACUCGCCUUACCCAUCUGGUCUGUCCGGCUCCAACUCUCAACACACAGCCAGCACAGAAUUAAAAACCAAGCAAAGCUGAUUUUGAUCACUGAACUUUGAUUUUGUAAGACGUUAACCUUAGACAUUGACAAAUUCUCCAUACCAUUUUGACAACUUUUCUUUGAAGUCUAUAAAGUUUUUUAAAAAUAAAACAUUUUGGAAAGUCAUCAGAAACCUUCCAUUUUGCCUUCAAUACAGUUGAUGCCUUGAAGUUCACUGAUAAUUCACUUUAAUGGAAAUAAAUAGCCUGAAACUCAUAAAUAAUUCACUUUCACUUUGA